GCUCUCGACUGGUGAGAUCCUUGGUGCCUUCGGGAGCGCAGAGACAGGUGCUGCAUGGCUGUCGUCAGCUCGUGUUGUGAAAUGUUGGGUUAAGUCCCGUAACGAGCGCAACCCUUGUCCUUAUUUGCCAGCACGUAAUGGUGGGAACUCUAAGGAGACUGCCGGUGACAAACCGGAGGAAGGUGGGGACGACGUCAAGUCAUCAUGGCCCUUACGGGUAGGGCUACACACGUGCUACAAUGGCCGGUACAAAGGGCUGCAAGCUCGCGAGAGUCAGCGAAUCCCUUAAAGCCGGUCUCAGUCCGGAUCGGAGUCUGCAACUCGACUCCGUGAAGUCGGAAUCGCUAGUAAUCGUGCAUCAAAAUGGCACGGUGAAUACUUUCCCGGGUCUUGUACACACCGAGUG
rnacentral:rRNA from 1 species